CAGUCGCCGCGGUAAUACGAAGGGGGCUAGCGUUGUUCGGAAUUACUGGGCGUAAAGCGCGCGUAGGCGGACAUUUAAGUCAGGGGUGAAAUCCCGGGGCUCAACCCCGGAACUGCCUCUGAUACUGGGUGUCUAGAGUUCGGAAGAGGUAAGUGGAAUUGCGAGUGUAGAGGUGAAAUUCGUAGAUAUUCGCAGGAACACCAGUGGCGAAGACGACUUACUGGUCCGAUACUGACGCUGAGGUGCGAAAGCGUGGGGAGCAAACAGGAUUAGAUACCCCAGUAGUCCCUGUCUCUUAUAC
rnacentral:rRNA from 1 species